rnacentral:rRNA from 1 species
AACGAACGCUGGCGGCAUGCCUAACACAUGCAAGUCGAACGAUUGCCUUCGGGUGAUAGUGGCGCACGGGUGCGUAACGCGUGGGAAUCUGCCCUUAGGUUCGGAAUAACAGCUGGAAACGGCUGCUAAUACCGGAUGAUAUCGCGAGAUCAAAGAUUUAUCGCCUGAGGAUGAGCCCGCGUUGGAUUAGGUAGUUGGUGGGGUAAAGGCCUACCAAGCCGACGAUCCAUAGCUGGUCUGAGAGGAUGAUCAGCCACACUGGGACUGAGACACGGCCCAGACUCCUACGGGAGGCAGCAGUGGGGGAUAUUGGAACGUGGGCGCAAGCCUGAUCCAGCAAUGCCGCGUGAGUGAUGAAGGCCGUAGGGUUGUAAAGCUCUUUUACCCGGGAAGAUCAUGACUGUACCGGGAGAAUAAGCCCCGGCUAACUCCGUG